GGGGCGUUAGCUCAGUUGGUAGAGCAGCGGACUCUUAAUCCGUAGGUCGUCAGUUCGAAUCUGACACGCCCCACCA
rnacentral:tRNA from 1 species